UUCCGGUUGAUCCUGCCGAAGGCUACUGCUAUUGGAGUUCGAUUAAGCCAUGCGAGUCUAAGGGACUUCGGUCCCUGGCAUAAUGCUCAGUAACAAGUGGAUAAUCUGCCCUUAGGUGAGGAAUAAACCCGGGAAACUGGGGCUAAUACCUCAUAGACACAAGAAGCUGGAAUGCUCCUGUGUUCAAAGCUCCGGCGCCUAAGGAUGAGUCUGCUUCCUAUCAGGUUGUAGUCAGGGUCAAGACCUGACUAGCCAGCGACGGGUACGGGGUGUGAGAGCACUUGCCCGGAGAUGGUUUCUGAGACACGAAACCAGGCCCUACGGGGCGCAGCAGGCGCGAAAACUUCGCAAUGCGGGAAACCGUGACGAGGGAACUCCAAGUGUCUAUGCAAUGCAUAGACUGUUUUUCAGCCUAAACAGCUGUUAGAGUAAGAGGUGGGCAAGACCGGUGCCAGCCGCCGCGGUAACACCGGCACCUCGAGUGGUAGCCACUAUUAUUGGGCCUAAAGCGUUCGUAGCCGGUUUGGUAAAUUCUUGGGUAAAUCGUACAGCUUAACUGUGCGGAUUCCGGGGACACUACCAGACUUGAGACCGGGAGAGAUCAGAGGUACUUGUAGGGGAGCGGUGAAAUGUUGUAAUCCUACAGGGACCACCAGUGGCGAAGGCGUCUGAUCAUAACGGCUUUGACGGUGAGGAACGAAACCCUGGGGGCGCAAACGGGAUUAGAUACCCCGGUAGUCCAGGGCGUAAACGCUGCUGACUUGGU
rnacentral:rRNA from 1 species